CCCCCCUCCCCCAAUCCCUAAAGCUACACCCAAAUCCCAACCCAUUCACCCCAUCCCCAACCCCGCCCCUAUCAUCAAGCCCCAUCCCCCAACCCCAACCCAAUGGCUGCCUUUGGCCGGACUGCUGGAACAGCGGGGGCCGUUUCGUGUUGCGGGUCCACCGGGCGGGCUGGAGUGGCCGCACGUUCUACCAUCCACGCUGUUCGGGAAGAGUCUGGUCGAAGCCGCCACCAUGUAAAUUCUGUGUAUAAUGGCGAGAGUUGUGCGUGGUAGUUCCGUAUGUGUUUUACAAAGACUGUCUUCUGCCCCUGAGCCGGUCGGGCGUGAAGCUGGCUCUCCAGCGCGCCACCGCACCCUCCUCUGGGGACACGUGAAGGAAAGCUGGAGGACAAAGUGAGGAAACUGCUGAAGUUCCCAGCCAACACCCUCCAACAUCGUGUUCAAGAAGGAACUGCAGAUGCUGGAAAAUCGAAGUUACUCCAGCAUCUUCGGUUUAUACCAGCAUCUGCAGUUCUUUGCUUAGGCAUUUCAUGCUGGUUUACUGAUGUUCUGGAUGGAUGCAGGAUGCCUUGUGUUGCACUUGAUGGCCAUGUAGCUACAAGGAGUAAAAUAGUCUCCACACUUGAUGCGUCUACCAGCAAAACCCCCAGCGUAUAUACCCAGUGUAUAGAGCGCAGUGUAUAUACCUAUACAGUAAGCACCAGAAUGAUCAAUGGAUUUUCCUUCAUGCCAUGCAUGUUUAUACUACACUUUCAUUUAAUUAUAGCGUUGGCGCUGUUGGUAAUUCUUCAAGUCAAUGCCCGAUCCUAGAAGGGUCCCGUGCUUCCAUGCAUACUCCUCUCUCUCUAAUGCCUGUCCAUUCCCCCUUUGGAAACUCUGUUUUCAUGCUCCUACUGACAGUGAGUUCCAGAUCGAAACCAAAAGUGCAAAAAAAAAAAAAUUCCCUUUCCCCAUUUACCAUUUUCCACGGGCGGCACGGUGGCGCAGCGGUAGAGUUGCCGCUUCACGGCGCCAGAGACCCGGGGUUCGAUCCUGUCUGUGUGGAGUUUGCACCUUCUCCCUGUGACCACGGUGUGUUUUAUCCAGGUGCCCCUGGUUUCCUCCCACACUCCAUAAAGCCGUGCAGGUCUAUAGGUUCUUCUGUAAAUUGGCCCUAUUGUGUGCGGGAUAGUGCUAGUGUACGGGGUGAUUGCUGGUUGACGCGGACUCCGUGGGCCGAAGGGCCUGUUUCCACACUGCAUCUCUAACGCAAGUCGGGAUGCCCCUAGUGCGUAGGUUGUGAAACUGGGAUAGUAUAGAACUGGUGCACGGGUAAUUGUUGGUUGGCUCGGACUCGGUGGGCCGAAGGGCCUGUUUCAGCGCUGAAUCUCUAAACUAAACUCAACUGUAGACAAAAGCGCUGGAGAUACUCAGCGGGUGAGGCAGCAUCUAUGGAGCGAAGGAAAGUGGCAACGUUUCGGGCCGAAACCCUUCUUCAGACUGAUGUGAGGGAACUGAACUAAUCUUCCUUACCAUUUACCCAAAGUUUUAUGUACCUUAAUCCUUGGCCCAUCUACGAACGAGAAUAGGUUCCAAAUCCUCAGCUAGUUUCUUGCCCCUUCCACCAAAUCUCCUCCGAAUCCCAGCUUCUGUGGUUAAACCAUGCAGCUAAAAACCCUCAUCCCUUUUAUACACACACACAUAUAUAUAUUCCACACCUUUGGUCAUGGCUUUGCGUAGGUAUCCAUCCUUUAAGAGGAACUUAAGGGCCUGUCCCACUUACGCAACUUUUUUGGCGACUGCCAGCACCCGUCAUAGGUCGUUGCAGGUCGGCGGAAAUGUUCAACAUGUUGAAAAUCCAGCGGCGACCAGAAAGACGCCACGACUCUUUGGGCGACUGAGGAGACGACUCACGACCGUACAGGCGACAUGCCUCGGGGUGAAGCCUGUAUGGUCGUGAGUAGUCGCCCAAAGAGUCGUACCUUGUUCUGGUCGCCGCUGGAUUUUCACUAUGUUGAACAUUUUCAGCGACCUGUAACAGCCCACGUGUCGGCUGCCGCAGAAAAAGUUGCGUAAGUGGGACAGGCCCGUUAGGAGGAGAUGCGAACUAUGAAAAUGUUUUCAGCCCAACUUCAAGCCCUGAAAUCCUGCUCAAUUGCCUGGAGCUCUGGAAUAAAUCUGAGUUAUAGGCGCGCGUAUCCUGGGUUUUAUUAUGUAAAAUGUUUUGUUGUGAGUUUUCAUGUUGAAGUGCUUUGUGGCUGGUUACAGUCCUGACUUGUCUGACCGUCUCAACCCUUGUUUUGUGUCUCAUGGUACUUUAAAAAUGGCCUGUCCCACUUAUGCGAUUUUCUUUCAGCGGCUUGCCGGCACCCGUCAUAGUCACGGCAGGUCGCCGGAAAUGUUCGAAAAUGUUGAAAAUCCAGCGGUGACCAGACAAAGGUACGAAUCUGGGCCGCUACGUACCUUAAUCCUUGGCCCAUUUACGAACGAGAAUAGGUUCCAAAUCUUCAGCUAGUUUCUUGCCCUUCCACCAAAUCUCCUCCGAAUCCCAGCUUCUGUGGUUGAAGCAUGCAGCUAAAAACCCUCAUCCUCCUUGUGACGCCUGUGUGGUUGUGAGUUGUGGCCCAACUGGUCGUUACCUUAAUCUGGUCGCCGCUGGAUUUUCAACAUUUUCGAAAAUGGUCGGCGCCCUGCCGCGACUAUGGCGGAUGCCGCCGGCAAGCAUCGUGUAAGUGGGACAGGCCCUUACGGCAGCAUCUAGCCUGCUCUGGCUUGUAUGAAGGAUAUAAUGUUGAUUGGUGAGAAGAGUGCAGUGAAGCAAAUGGCUAAGCGUUGCAGUUACGGCUUGCGUGCAAAUCUAGGCUUGAAUAAACAACGUACGAGAUCUUGGCUUUCACCCUCCGAGACCUGUUGGGCAGUUCGGUGGGAUCAAGCCCAAAGUUCUUUGUGGUUGCCCUUUUUGCUUUCGACUUGAUUUUGUUUUAAACUUCAUCUUGAUCUAUUGUGGAGUUAAAUAGAAUUUGAACGCUGCAGUGGGCUGGACUUCGAGUACAUCACUGAAACUAACGGCGGCACGGUAGUUCCUGCCUUGCAGCGCUUAUAGCGCCGGAGACCCGGGUUCGACCCCAACUACAGGUGCUGUUGGGACAGAGUUUGUACGUUCUCCCCGUGACCUGUGUGGGUUUUCUCCGGGCGUUCCGGUUUCCCCCCACACUACAAAGACGUGCGGGUUUGUAGGUAUCAUUGGCUUUGCUAAAAAACUGUAAAUAUGUUCCCUAGUGUGUGUGUGUGUGUGUAGGAUACUGCUAGUGUACGGGGCGAUUGCUGGUCGGCGCGGACUCAGUGGGCCCUGUUUCCACGCUGUACCACUAAGGUCUAAAGGAAUGGGUGUUAAUGUCCGGCAGGCAAGAGUAAGCUAAAAUGCAGAGGGAAAACCAAUUUUAUAAAAGAGAACAAGGUUUCCUUAAACUGACACUAAAGAUGCUUCAAACUGAAUGCGUGAGUUGUCUACACAAAUCGUACGCACUGAUAUUUGUACCAUCAUCUGUUGUACUUUGUACUAAUUUGUGUUUUAUUUAGUUAUAGAGAGGUACUGUAAUCAUUGCUUAUUCCUAUUGACAAUUGAAUGUGAAAUUGGAAUAAAGGUUUGAGAUUAUUUAGA